UACGGAGGGUGCGAGCGUUGUCCGGAAUCAUUGGGCGUAAAGGGCGCGUAGGUGGCCCGGUCAGUUCGUGGUGAAAGCGCGGGCUCAACUCCGCGUCGGCCAUGAAUACUGCUGGGCUGGAGCACUGUAGAGGCAGGCGGAAUUCCGGGUGUAGCGGUGGAAUGGCGUAGAGAUCCGGAAGACACCGGUGGCGAAGGCGGCC
rnacentral:rRNA from 1 species